rnacentral:lncRNA from 1 species
CAAAUUGUUGGAGAAGUUCAGAAGAUUGAGAAAAAUCUUCCUAUGAUCACUAAGCUAACACAGACCACCUUUGCCCUGCUCACAGACCAUACAUUCUUCAUUCGUUCAGGAAAAGUAGCUGAAGUUCUGGAGCUGUUCCGGAUUUAUGACCUUCAGGCUGAAACAAGUUCUGUUCUCACACUCAAGGAUCAAAUUGAUGUUGAUGUGAGACGUGCUGCUGUCCUUCAAGCUCUUCCUGCAUAUCUGCAUGAGGACGACUCAACAUUUCUUAAGAUGUGAGAUGUAAGUUAGCACAUUGUUUAUAGUUUAGGCAACAGUUCAUUUAUAUAAACAAAGGUCAUUAUGCUAAAGAAUAACGUGCAAUAGGCCUGGUGUGAUUAGGGCACAUCAUUAAACCUUCAGAUUUUCAUCACAUUCAGAUUAAAGUUGCAUUUAAUUAUCAACAAGAGUGUUUUUUUUUCCUCAUUAAUUGGACUAAUCCACCAACCUGGUUCAUGGACUGUUUAACUAAAAGAGUAUAAUGUUAUGGGAGUUUCUGAGGAUUUGUUUACCCAAAUGAAUAGAAGUGAUUGGAAGUCGUGCUUUUCCUUCAUGCAAGUACUUUUACCUAAUUUUUACUUAUUUAAUGUGAUCAAUAUGGAGGCAUUAAUUAGAUGUUUAUACAGUAUGAGAGGAUGUGGGAGAUGAGCAACAAUUUGUGUGUUGGGUCACUAAGGUAGUUAAGUAAGGUAACCUUAUUUUCUCUUCUGUUGUCACAGGUUGAACAACCAGACACAGGUGACCAGUUGGACUCCUCUUAAUCAACUCCACCUCCAGCAACAUUCUUCUCUCCAGAUAGGAUUUCAGUUGUGCUUGAGGGUAAUGUAGUUGUUGAUUGCACCACACUGGCUGAUGCUUUUGUAAUGCUUUUGGCACUCAUUUAUGCCCUGCAUCUGAGCUACCCAAAUAAGUUGGCCAACACAUUUAACUUUAUCCAGAAUGUGUUGAUGGGCCUAGAUGAUGGGAAGUUAAGGCCCAGGGUGCUGAGUCUUAAAAAGGACCUUUUAUCAGUGGAGUAAUCUGAUGUGACUUUAUUAUCUUGAAGAUUGUACACAUGUACUACAGUCACCUUUGUAAUAUAGUUAACAAUUGAAGUAUUUUUUGUGAUUUGAUCAUUUUUAAAUUAGGUAAAUGUGAAGUUUAGCCAUACUGUAGUAUGUAAUUACAUUGAUCACUGUGGGUUAAUAUGUAACACUUAGAUAUGUGUUAGAAGUGUUUACAAGUAUUUCUUGCACUGUUUUAUGAUGCUAUUUUGUCAUGCAUGUUUGACUUGAGUGAAGGUUACUUAAUAAAGAAGUAACUUGUUCUGAAACGGCCUAUUAUUCUGUUGUGUAAUCUACUGUUAAAGUGUAUGGGUUUAACAAAUUGAGUUAAAACUAGUUAAAAAAAAACUUAUGUAAUCAGUUUCAAAAUAAAUUUUAAGUAUUGUGUUUUAAUUUUUGAGUUUUAGUUAAGCAAAGCUUUAAGUUAGAGUAGAGUGCAUACAACUUUAUUUACCAUGUACGCUUUACUUGAAAAAUCUAUUACUGAGCAACUAAUUAUUUUUUGUUACUUGUAAUUGAUAUGUAAGAGUUAACUAUACUUAAAUUAGUUCCGUAUUCUGUAUAUUAACUUAUCGGGUUUUACAGUGCUCUUUUGGUCUACACCUCCCGCCUGGCAGCUCCAACAUCAGCAUCAGUUUACCAAUAUGUUCUCAAUCUCUCCUUUGAACAUGUCCAAACUACCUUAAUCUGGCCUCUCUUACUUUAUCUCUAAAACAUCUGACAUGGACUGUCCCUCUGAUGUAUUAUUAAACUACGUUCCUGUGAAGGCUGAUGACUCAUCUGAGAUUAACAAAUUAGAGUCCUGCUUGUCAGCGUGAAAAGCUGGAUGUCACAUAAUUUCCUGCUCCUUAAUCCAGAUAAAACUGAGAUUCUGGUCAUCAGCUCACCUUGACAUCGACAUAACUGUGAUCAGUUAACCUUAACUUUUGUCAAUGGUGUCACAGAGCCUGACAGCCAAAAAUCUUGGGAGUCCUAUUUGAUCCUUGUCUCUCUUUUGAACACCACAUUAAAUAUAUUACUAAGAUUGCCUUUUUUUACCUACGAAUCAUAGCAGAGUUCUGCCUGCUCUGUCCAUGGGAGAAGCAGAGACAAUAAGAUUUAACAAUAAGAAUAAUCUAACCCCCUGUUUUUCUCCCUCAAGCACAUGAGCACAUGAGGCUGUGUGCCUCUUUGUCUCUCUCUUUUCUUUUUCUCUCUGUCCUGUGCUUUUAGUUUUUCCUACCCAUGAAAUUAAAGUGCCUGACUAAAUAAUUUGUCCUGGUACUAUAACCAGAUUCUACAGGUAGAGCAAGAAAAUAUUUGAUUAAGCAUACCAAAAUUUUUUACAGGCCAUUUUUAUGCCUCUGUGCCAGCAAUUACCAGGCCAGGACACAUUAUGAUGUCAUGUUGUUUGUACGGCGGUCUAUUUGACCCCCUAAUUCUAGUGAAAGUGAUACCUAAGUAAUGCUUACAGGGAAUUCGCAAUAACAAAUUGUUACUUGGGAUCAAGAAUGAACUGAUUAGAUUUUGUAUUCAAAUGUCAAGUUUAAAGGUAGACAUGUAAACUACAAUGUCACUAGCAAAUGCAUGCAUUAUCUGUUGUUUUAUUUAAAAUGAUAUCAUGAUUAAAAAUCAAAAGCAAAGUCUGAUGUCUAUGAUAGUAUAAUAAAAUAUAUUGACCUUUAAGGUCUCAGUGCACCCGAUAUUGUAUCAUGUGCCCCUUGAUAGAAAUAUUUUCUUACAGAUCAGCAGUUGAACGUAUAAGGACAAGAAACAAUAAAGUCAAAAAUCCUGUAAAGAAACAAUUCAACAGACAACACAAGAUCAAGGUCAGUAAUAUGUGCUGUGCUGAUAAUCAAAUACAAAGACAAUAAAGUCAGAAAUAAAUUUGUAACCGUUUUUUCUUUUCUAGAAACAUUUUAGUGAUAAAUGUUUAGAAGUGUUCACAGUGAGCUCCAAAGAAAUUCUAGAAGGAAAACGUCUGGAGCCAGAUGAUACAGGUACGUUCAGUCUCCAUAUUGGAAGACUUGCAGCUCAAUUAUACAUUUUGUUCACUAUAACCACUUUUUAAUAAACUAAUCACAUUCUGAUCAAGUACAAA